rnacentral:siRNA from 1 species
UAUGACUCCACUGAACUUUGCCA